AGUGAAGCCCAUGAGCCACUAGAAGCCACAUGUUCUGCCAUGUGGAGAAGAAUGAGAGAGUACAUCCUCAAAUUGAGGUGUGGCAUGAUGAUUUGGCUGCCCAGAGGAGAACCUGUCUUUCCCAUCUAAAGUGGGAGGUCAAGCCAAGUAGAGGUUAACAGCAUGUGAUCCUGAGAGGCGAUGGAAACAGUGAAUUGCCGGGCCAGGGCCAUCUCCGCCUGGCUGUGGAAGAGGAACGGGAUCCCUUCCUGGACUGCAUAAGCCCCAGGUUUGUUGGAAACCAAGAUCAAACAACUAAGAGAGUCAAAGCUGAGACUGUGCCCUUUUCACUCCACCAGACCAGCCACCUUUCAAGGGCCUGUGCCUGUGGUAACUGUCUAUGAGCCAGGUAUAUCUGAAGCAUAUUUGACAACAGAAAAAGUUAAUGUAAUUUUCAAAGGAAAAACGCCAACUUUUUUCAAAAAGGAAACAGCAACUGGAGAGCAGAUUUGCAAACCAGAAAAGCAACUCAUGAAUACAAAUUGCCUGGAAAGCAUUUAUUACAACAGAAGCUCUGCAAGAUAUACCGGAAAUUGACAGUGGCAUCGAAUUCCCAGCAAGGAAGUUUUCUAAGGACACCAACAGACACCAGCAGAAGACAGCCUUGCAUUUACAACAAACCAUUGAUCCACAACAAACCAUUGAUCCACACUUUCAAAAUCAUUGAGGUGAAGCAUAGAGAACUGGAGUGGAGACGGCUCUGGCAAAUCCAAACAAUAUCAAAAGCACUCUCAUACUGAAAACCCACAGUGCUGAACCACAGCUGAGAUGUAAAAUAUUUCACAAAAUCUUCUUCACCCUCUAUAGUAUUUCACCUGAGAGUGCAUGAUUUAAGUUGCAAGCACUGUCAUAGAUGAUGGGAUUCAGAGAUGAACACAUGGAAAUGGACUUUAUGUUCUCUAAUGUCACAAAGAAAGAGUGAUUAUGAAGAAGACCCAGAUUCCCACCUAUUAAUCUGAGCUUUGAAUUCUUUACUUUGCUGGGUCCACCGGAUUUUUUCUCCACUCAGCCCAUCGAUGAGAGUGGAGGCGGCCUGCAUCUUUUUCCGGCACGUAUCAGCGUCAUUAAGCAAAUCCUGCAGCCAUAAUGGGAGAAUGUCUCAAAAAACUUUUCUAAGUGCUUAACACAAACAUCCAUUAUAUUCACACAUAAAAAUACAUGGGGGAAUUUCUUACUUUGCAAAAUAAUAUAACCUAAAAAUACAGUGUGCAUUGAAACUUCACAUAUUAAAUUUUGAUCAUUCAUAAUAUAGUGAUUUUACCUUAUAAAAUUUCAAGGAAAGCAAUUUUGUAAGACAGAAUCCAAAUCACAUAAUUUAUCUUUUAAUCAGACAAAUUACAAUAGUAUUUCUAUUGAAUAUUUUCAAAACAGAAUCAAAUCAAUAAGAUUUGCCAUUUUGAUGUCUUGGAUGCAGUAAUAAUCCCGAGUUCUUUGUCAUUUACAAAGUAUUUUCUCCUGGAAAAAUCCCAGACAACAAUAGCAUGUAGCAGCCGGCUUGUAUCAACUCUUAAGAGCCAAUUGUUAAAUUUUUAGAGUAUUUGUGAGCUGGUGCUAAACACAGCCUUUAUUAAAAAUUAAACUAUGUAAGCUUACAAUUAAAAAAUUAUAUUAAAAGCAAAAGUAAUAAAUAACAAAAGCUUACUUCCUAAUUAUUUAAAUGUUAAUAUUAUCUAUGGUUUUGAGGUUAAGACCGUUGUAUCUGGAUGGUGGAAAUAGUAUGCGAUGGGGUACUGCCAUGCACCUUUUCCCAAAUCUGUGCUCAGUGACGUUACAUUGGAGUUUAAAAUUGCCAGUGAUGGGAGUAUUUACACCACAGAAAUCAGCAAAUAUUACAAAUCCGGACUUUCCUCUCCCCACACUGCACACUAGAUUGUUAACAUUUACCAGACCACCACUGCUUACAACCUAUCCCAAGAGGUUAUAUUAGGAUCCCCAUUUUACAAACAGAGCUAGGUAGAUUGCCCCUGUCAGGUCUCUGAGCCAAAGCUAAGCCAUCAUAUCCCCUGUGACCUGCAUGUACACAUCCAGAUGGCCGGUUCCUGCCUUAACUGAUGACAUUCCACCACAAAAGAAGUGAAAAUGGCCUGUUCCUGCCUUAACUGAUGACAUUACCUUGUGAAAUUCCUUUUCCUGGCUCAUCCUAGCUCAAAAGCUCCCCCACUGAGCACCUUGUGACCCCCACCCCUGCCCGCCAGAGAACAACUCCCUUUGACUGUAAUUUUCCUUUACCUACCUAAAUCCUAUAAAACGGCCCCACCCCUGUCUCCCUUCGCUGACUCUUUUCGGACUCAGCUCGCCUGCACCCAGGUGAAAUAAACAGCCUUGUUGCUCACACAAAGCCUGUUUGGUGGUCUCUUCACAUGGACGCGCGUGAAAGCCCCAAACCACACAAUUAACAAGUGUCUGAGCUGCAUCUCAAACCCAGUUUUCUA
rnacentral:lncRNA from 10 species